UUAUUGAUUGAAAUUUAUUUUUUGUGUUUCGAUUUUUUUUCAUUUUUAUAUUUUUUUAGUAAAUUCUUGUAAAAAAUGGAGAGACGUAAUUGCAUUUCUAGAAUUUACGAAGUUCUGGCUAAUUCGGAAAAAACAAUCGAGGAAUUAUUUCAAAAAAUGAACGAAGAGGAAAGUGUGGACAUGGACGACAUAAGAAGGGGAGUAAACCAAGGAGUCGAGAUGGGCAUCUUGGGAAUAACAGGAUUGGUAUCAAAAUAUUCAACGUUCAUUCGCGUAAUUUUUUUUUUUAUUUCGCGCAAAUUGUACUCGAGUUAGGUACCCACACAGUACGGGCUGUUCCCGCCCCCGGACUCGGGUGAACUUUACUGCGCUGCGUCCUGAUGCUGUCUGUUGAAGCCAUGUUAAUAAAAUCGUUUCGCUCCACAAUGACGUCCGACGCCGCUCGAAAGACUGCUGAAUGGCUGUGUAGUGACAGCAGCGGAUUUUCAAGUAAGUGUGAAAUGUUGUAGACCUUUAUACUUGCACUGUUAAAAUUCGAUUUGCAAUCAAAAAAUUGUUUAAGCUUUGUAAUUUUAGAUAAUUUUUUUUCUCUUUGAAUAUUAAGUUUGAGUGAACUAAGGUAAAUUUAUACACAAAAUUUUGCUGCUUUUUCCUCGUUCAAAACACUUGUCGAGUGGAUUAUGUCAAACAUUUCUCAAAAAGUCGAUAUUUUCCGAAAGCGAAGAAGAAAAAAUUUUUACAGUGACGGCUUUCAACAACAAAUGAUAUGCAAGUAUUAUAGCAAAUUUUGGCCAUAAAUUUGUUUUAAUCGUGGCAAUCACAUUACCCGCGUAUCGCUAAAUAUGGCAACAUUUUCAAAAGAAGUUGUUUUUUGAUGCAAACGUGGUAUUAAAAAUAAAUAGAUCGGGUAUAAAUAAUUAAAACGCAUGCGAAGAAGGAUU